ACUUAGCCUUUUGCUGUGCUUUUCCUGGUUGCAAAUGGGCUGAUGAUGGCACCUUUCUCAUAGGAUUGCUAUGAGGAUAUGAGGAUUCGAUCCCUACAGAAUGCUGGAAACAGUGCUUGGCACCACUAAGCACCCGUGAAUGUAAACUGCUAUUACAGGGAUUUUUGCUUGACAUCAAGGUUACCUUUUGUCCUGGCUGAUCUCAUGUGGGGAGAGGACAGCACGUGGGCACUGGCGGGCAGCGGGAGGCAUGGUGACCACGGGAGGAUGUACUGGCCCCUGGGCCCAGGGAGAAGUGGAGUCCAUGGCUUGGGAAGGACCUGUGCUGCUGAAGGGAGCGCCAUCUACUCCAAUUUUAUGUUCAGCUCCUCAGUGCACAGUGCAAAUGACCUGGCUCAAUGGAUGUUGCCGUUUGGAUGAUUUCCUCCUUCCUUCCUGGGGCCAUUCUUGCUGGUGCUUGGUUCACCCUUCCCUUCCCACGUACAGAGGACUUGAACACUUUCAGUUGGACAAAAUUUAUCAAAUAUAUUUGCAUAAACCCCCUUUUCUGUCUUCCAAGCCACAUGGCCUAGGUUUCUCUGCAUCACAUUUGCUUCAUUUACGACACUUGACCAUACAUUGUACAGAAUGUGACCUGCUUGUUUCUGAGGAAUACCAGGUCCUCAGGGCCUUAUAUACCUGACUGGCUACACAAUUCGUAAGGCUUGGUGAGAAACGGAACUUCUACUGCUUGUUCAAAAGUUAUGAAGAAUUUCAAGCUGGUGACAGCAGAGCAUCAGACCAAGUGUGGUCCCCUGUGUAACUGCCCAAGUCACAGCUCCGUGGAGCCAGCCCUUCAUACAUGUAUAUCUUCAUAUGAGCAGCACUAGGCAGGAUCUGCAACUUGGCCUUCCUUUGCUUCUUUACUAUGUUUAGUCUGCAGACUAAGGUCAGUGCUUAUGUCUUGGUGCUUUGAAAAUAUUCCAUGGGCUUCUGACUUCUAUUGUUGUCAUUGAAAAGUCUGCUGUCCAAAAGAAACUACCCACAGAGUAAAUAGACAACCUACAGAAUGGGAGAAAAUAUUUGCAAACUAUGCAUCUGACAAAGGUUUAAUAUCCACCAUCUAUAAGGACUUAAACACAUUUAUAAGACAAAAACAACCCUAUUAAAAAGUGGGUAAAGAACAUUAACAGACAUUUUUCAACACAUAUGCAGUCAACAAGCAUAUGAAAAAAAACUCAAUGUCACUGCUCAUUAGAGAAAUGCAAAUCAAAACAACAAUGAGAUACCAUCUCAUACCAGUCAGAAUGGCUAUUACUAAAAAUAAAAAAAUAACAGAUGCUGUCA
rnacentral:lncRNA from 13 species